CUACGGGGUGCAGCAGUGAGGAAUUUUGCGCAAUGGGGGAAACCCUGACGCAGCAACGCCGCGUGAGUGAUGAAGGCCUUCGGGUCGUAAAACUCUGUCAAGUGGGGAGAACCUAUGUAAGGUUAAUACCCUUAUGUACUGACGGUACCACUGAAGGAAGCACCGGCUAACUCCGUGGCCAGCAGCCGCGGUAAUACGGAGGGUGCAAGCGUUAUUCGGAAUUAUUGGGCGUAAAGGGCGCGCAGGCGGUUUUGUAAGUCAGAUGUGAAAGCCCGGGGCUUAACCUCGGAAGUGCAUUUGAUACUGCAAGACUUGAGUAUGGGAGGGGGAAGUGGAAUUCCUGGUGUAGAGGUGAAAUUCGUAGAUAUCAGGAGGAACACCAGUGGCGAAGGCGACUUCCUGGACCAAUACUGACGCUGAGGCGCGAAGGCGUGGGGAGCAAACAGGAUUAGAUACCCUCGUAGUC
rnacentral:rRNA from 1 species